rnacentral:rRNA from 1 species
ACCAGUUUAACGGCCGCGGUAUUCUGACCGUGCAAAGGUAGCAUAAUCACUUGUUCUCCAAAUAAGGACUUGUAUGAAUGGCCACACGAGGGUUUUACUGUCUCUUACUUCCAAUCAGUGAAAUUGACCUUCCCGUGAAGAGGCGGGAAUAAAAAAAUAAGACGAGAAGACCCUAUGGAGCUUUAAUUAACUAUUCCAAAAGUUAAACAAUUCAACCACAAAGGGAUAAAACAUAACUUAACAUGGACUAGCAAUUUCGGUUGGGGUGACCUCGGAGUACAAAAAACCCUCCGAGUGAUUUUAAUCUAGACAAACCAGUCAAAAUAACCAUAACAUCACUUAUUGAUCCAAAACUUUGAUCAACGGAACAAGUUACCCUAGGGAUAACAGCGCAAUCCUAUUCUAGAGUUCCUAUCGACAAUAGGGUUUACGACCUCGAUGUUGGAUCAGGACACCCAAAUGGUGCAACCGCUAUUAAAGGUUCGUUUGUUCAACGAUUAAAGUCCUACGUGAUC